CCUGCACGAAUGGCGUAAUGAUGGCCAGGCUGUCUCCACCCGAGACUCAGUGAAAUUGAACUCGCUGUGAAGAUGCAGUGUACCCGCGGCAAGACGGAAAGACCCCGUGAACCUUUACUAUAGCUUGACACUGAACAUUGAGCCUUGAUGUGUAGGAUAGGUGGGAGGCUUUGAAGUGUGGACGCCAGUCUGCAUGGAGCCGGCCUUGAAAUACCACCCUUUAAUGUUUGAUGUUCUAACGUGGACCCGUGAUCCGGGUUGCGGACAGUGUCUGGUGGGUAGUUUGACUGGGGCGGUCUCCUCCUAAAGAGUAACGGAGGAGCACGAAGGUUGGCUAAUCCUGGUCGGACAUCAGGAGGUUAGUGCAAUGGCAUAAGCCAGCUUGACUGCGAGCGUGACGGCGCGAGCAGGUGCGAAAGCAGGUCAUAGUGAUCCGGUGGUUCUGAAUGGAAGGGCCAUCGCUCAACGGAUAAAAGGUACUCCGGGGAUAACAGGCUGAUACCGCCCAAGAGUUCAUAUCGACGGCGGUGUUUGGCACCUCGAUGUCGGCUCAUCACAUCCUGGGGCUGAAGUAGGUCCCAAGGGUAUGGCUGUUCGCCAUUUAAAGUGGUACGCGAGCUGGGUUUAGAACGUCGUGAGACAGUUCGGUCCCUAUCUGCCGUGGGCGCUGGAGAACUGAGGGGGGCUGCUCCUAGUACGAGAGGACCGGAGUGGACGCAUCACUGGUGUUCGGGUUGUCAUGCCAAUGGCACUGCCCGGUAGCUAAAUGCGGAAGAGAUAAGUGCUGAAAGCAUCUAAGCACGAAACUUGCCCCGA
rnacentral:rRNA from 1 species